rnacentral:tRNA from 1 species
AGUAGAGUCAGCUAAUAUAAGCUUUUGGGCCCAUACCCCGAACACGUUGGUUAAAGUCCUUCCUCUACUA